CCCUCGGUCACGCCAAGGUCUCUGGCGUGACUCGAGUCACGCUAGGCCCUUUGGCAUGACCGAGGGCUAUACAGAACGGGGCGCCGACCCCUUCUCCCGCACGCAAGUCACUUCUUCCUCAGGAAGCGGAGGCAGAACACAAAACCCCCGUGGCGCCCUCUCUCUGCAUUCCAACCGAUUUGGUGGCCCAAUAGGAAGGGAUUUGAGCGGGAAGAGGUGAAGGAAGGUUAUCGGUAUGACGUCGAACUUAUGGCGCAAGCAAAAGUGGGCACAUAUCGGUAAGAAGUAUCCCGAUGUGAGUUGCAAAGAUGCUCCGGUUCCCCCCUCCCUCCCUGUCCCGACUUGUGACUGUGGUAAGCGAGCCGUGGUUCUUCAGUCGCUGCACGAAGAUACUGCCGGUCGGGCUUACUACCUGUGCUCAGAUUAUCGUGAGUGGGAGAUGUGCUAUUUCUUCCAAUGGAUAGAUGGGCCCGAUAUGUAUGAUAAGAGGAUUCUGCAGGUGAAACGGUUUAGUCAGUAUCCGAAGCCAUUUGAGAAGUUUGUUCGUUGGGUCCCCCCACCACCAAAUCCCCCAAAAUUAACGGAUAAAGAG